rnacentral:rRNA from 1 species
AUUGAACGCUGGCGGCAGGCCUAACACAUGCAAGUCGAACGAGCGGCGGACGGGUGAGUAAUUUAUGGGAAACUGCCUGAUGGAGGGGGAUAACUACUGGAAACGGUAGCUAAUACCGCAUACCAUCGGAUGUGCACAGAUGGGAGUAGCUUGUAGGUGGGGUAAUGGCACACCUAGGCGACGAUCCCUAGCUGGUCUGAGAGGAUGACCAGCCACACUGGAACUGAGACACGGUCCAGACUCCUACGGGAGGCAGCAGUGGGGAAUAUUGCACAAUGGGAGCAAGCCUGAUGCAGCCAUGCCGCGUGUAUGAAGAAGGCCUUCGGGUUGUAAAGUACUUUCAGCGAGGAGGCGUUACUCGCAGAAGAAGCACCGGCUAACUCCGUGCCAGCAGCCGCGGUAAUUC